rnacentral:SRP_RNA from 1 species
GCUGGGCAUGGUGGGGCGUGCCUGUAAUCCCAGCUACUCGGGAGGCUGAGGCAGGAGAAUUGCUUGAACUCAGGAGGCAGAGGUUGCAGUGAGCCGAGAUUAUGCCACUGCACUUCAGCCUGGGUGACAGAGCUAGACUCUGUUUCAA